AUUCCUAAAGUCCAAAAAUAUUUAUAUGCAGAAUUUUCUGUGUUGAAAAUAUGAAAAGGCCACGAAUUUGGUUAGUUACCACUGAGUUGUUCUAGUCUAAGCCUUUUUUGCUGCUUGUGUAUCAUUCUUUUUCAAUGUAUAUAUAAUUAUGGACUGCAAAAAAAAAAAAAAGGCAUUUAUAUGUCUAGUAGAAGGAAUAAGCUUAUUUAUAUUAUAGUGUUAAAAAGUCUGAUGUAUUCAAGUGACUUACAUUAUACCGCAUGCAAACACACAGUGUACAUUCCAUCUAAGAAGGGAUGCCAUGCUAUUUCUUUUGAAGAAGUAAUUAAAGCUGUUCUCUUUUCAGAAGAGCAUAUGCCAGAAAGACUGAGAGGUGGAAAUUGUUCUUAGUCAAUUUUAUUGUAGGUUGUUGCUGAAAACCAGAAGAUAUUCUGGAAAGCAUGAGUGCUUUCAGAAUUGUGGGAUUUUCUAAGAAAGGGCAGCAAAGGGGUAAAACUGCUCCUUCCCCCAAAGAUGUUUUAAUGGAAAAGAAAACAGCACCACUACCAAAAUCCCAUCUGACCGAGAAGUGUGCAGUACUGGCUGUGCCAAGUGAACUCUGACGUGGAGCACCACUGACCAUUUGUUACAGCCUGGCAUUGAUUUGUUUUGGUUUAUUAUAUUUGGACAUUCAAAAGACAAAUUCUGCCUUGCUCACAGUCUGUGAAACACAAAUUUUAAUAACAUGGCAUCCCCUUACAAAAACUUUACACCAGCCAUGUAUGAAUAUACAGUAUCUAAAUACUGUGUUGCAGUUGUGUUAUGUGCAUUAUAAGUGUGAAUAACAUGUAGCACAGUUUCUUUUCACAGAACCUUAAAUUUCCGUAUCUUUUAAAUAUGUUUGCUUUUCAGUAUUUUGUAUAGUAAAUAUAGAUGGUUUUGACUAAAUGCUUUAUUUAUUUAACAGCAAAAACUGUGCCAAGAGAACCCCCUGUUAAUUAAAGUUUUACUAGUUCAGAAAGUAUAUUUCUUUCUUCUUGUUGUGGAUUUCAGGGGCCUAUUGCAAUUGCUGUCAGUGCUUGCAGAUCCCACUGAUGAAAGAGCUUGCAUUAACAUUUUUGGGAACAGGAUCAGGAAAUUACGUAUAGACUGGGUAUGCUUUGGUCUAAUAUUUAAAAUAUCAAGUUUCAAAGUUAAAUUUCUUGUCCCCUGCUGUUGGACCUGUGUUGAGUAACUGAUAUUUCAUUUUGCUAUUAAUUCAGAAAAUUUUUCCUUAAAAAAAAUAAAUAUUGCUUUAAGUUGUUCAAAACCAUAGCUGAAUCAAAAUUUGAAAGAGUUUAGUUUCUGGUUAAACAAAACAUUAAUUUCCAAAGAAAAAAUAUCAGAGUUGAGUAUAUUGGUAAUAUUGAAAAGUAAAAUGGAGGCAUUAAGUAAUUUCAGAUGAAAACUCCAGACUUUUCACUUUCUUCUUCUGUUUUUACACAAGGCAGAUCAGCAAAAUGAAGUCAAUCCUGAACUUUGCACUAUUUGCUGAAAAAUUUCAAUUGAAAAAUUUUGCUUAUCUCUACCAGCUGCAAUUCUGGGGAGGACAGUGUUUUGAAAAGAAGCAUUGCUAAGCUCUUCUCACAACUUCAUGACCAUAAUACAAAUUUACCUAAGCUAAGGCUGUGAAGUAAAAUUUCUGUUGCAGUGAAAUCUCUGGCAAGACUGCCAGGUUCCACGGGCUGCAGGGUGCCUAUAAUUUCAUUUCAGGAAGAUGUACUAUGCUCUUUUC